CUGCUGCCUCCCGUAGGAGUCUGGGCCGUGUCUCAGUCCCAGUGUGGCCGUCCGCCCUCUCAGGCCGGCUACUAAUCGUCGCUUUGGUAGGCCGUUACCCUGCCAACUGGCUAAUCAGACGCGGGCCCAUCCUGUACCACCGGAGUUUUCAGGGAAAAGCCAUGCGGCUUCCCCCGUUAUGCGGUAUUAGCACCUAUUUCUAAGUGUUAUCCCCCUGUACAGGCCAGGUUGCCCACGCGUUACUCACCCGUCCGCCACUCAUG
rnacentral:rRNA from 1 species